rnacentral:rRNA from 1 species
AGUGAACGCUGGCGGUAGGCCUAACACAUGCAAGUCGAACGGCAGCACAGUAAGAGCUUGCUCUUACGGGUGGCGAGUGGCGGACGGGUGAGGAAUACAUCGGGAUCUACUUUUUCGUGGGGGAUAACGUAGGGAAACCUACGCUAAUACCGCAUACGACCUACGGGUGAAAGCAGGGGAUCUUCGGACCUUGCGCGAUUGAAUGAGCCGAUGUCGGAUUAGCUAGUUGGCGGGGUAAAGGCCCACUAAGGCGACGAUCCGUAGCUGGUCUGAGAGGAUGAUCAGCCACACUGGGACUGAGACACGGUCCAGACUCCUACGGGAGGCAGCAGUGGGGAAUAUUGGACAAUGGGCGCAAGCCUGAUCCAGCCAUACCGCGUGGGUGAAGAAGGCCUUCGGGUUGUAAAGCCCUUUUGUUGGGAAAGAAAAGCAGCAGGUUAAUACCCCGCUGUUCUGACGGUACCCAAAGAAUAAGCACCGGCUAACUUCGUG